UACGAAGGGGGCUAGCGUUGUUCGGAUUUACUGGGCGUAAAGCGCACGUAGGCGGAUCGAUCAGUCAGGAGUGAAAUCCCAGAGCUCAACUCUGGAACUGCCUUUGAUACUGUCGAUCUGGAGUAUGGAAGAGGUGAGUGGAAUUCCGAGUGUAGAGGUGAAAUUCGUAGAUAUUCGCAAGAACACCAGUGGCGAAGGCGGCUCACUGGCCCGAUACUGACGCUGAGGCACGAAAGCGUGGGGAG
rnacentral:rRNA from 1 species